rnacentral:rRNA from 1 species
UAUCGACGAGUUUGAUCAUGGCUACAGAACGAACGCUGGCGGCAGGCCUAACACAUGCAAGUCGAACGCCCCGCAAGGGGAGUGGCAGACGGGUGAGUAACGCGUGGGAACCUACCCUAAGGUGCGGAAUAGCCCAGGGAAACUUGGAGUAAUACCGCAUAAGCCCGCAAGGGGAAAGAUUUAUCGCCUUUGGAUGGGCCCGCGUCUGAUUAGCUAGUUGGUGAGGUAAUGGCUCACCAAGGCGACGAUCAGUAGCUGGUCUUAGAGGAUGAUCAGCCACACUGGGACUGAGACACGGCCCAGACUCCUACGGGAGGCAGCAGUGGGGAAUAUUGGACAAUGGGCGCAAGCCUGAUCCAGCCAUGCCGCGUGAGUGACGAAGGCCUUAGGGUUGUAAAGCUCUUUUGGCGGGGACGAUAAUGACGGUACCCGCAGAAUAAGCACCGGCUAACUCCGUG